rnacentral:rRNA from 1 species
GACGGUACUAUUCGAAUAAUCACCGGCUAACUCCGUGCCAGCAUCCGCGGUAAUACGGAGGGUGCGAGCGUUAUCCGGAAUUAUUGGGUUUAAAGGGUGCGUAGGCGGAAAUUUAAGUCAGUGGUGAAAGCCUGCAGCUUAACUGUAGAAUUGCCAUUGAUACUGGAUUUCUUGAAUCUAAUAGAAGUAGGCGGAAUAUGACAUGUAGCGGUGAAAUGCUUAGAUAUGUCAUAGAACACCGAUAGCGAAGGCAGCUUACUAUGUUAGUAUUGACGCUAAUGCACGAAAGCGUGGGGAGCGAACAGGAUUAGAUACCCUGGUAGUCCACGCCGUAAACGAUGAUUACUCGCUAUUGGCGAUACACUGUCAGUGGCUAAGCGAAAGUGAUAAGUAAUCCACCUGGGGAGUACGAUCGCAAGGUUGAAACUCAAAGGAAUUGACGGA